rnacentral:lncRNA from 1 species
AUGGCCCUCGCCAGGGGGGCGGGGCCUCGCAUUGGAAGACUGUGCAGUGCAAGGGGGUGCCGGUUUACGCGUCAGCCGCUCGGCUUCCAAUACAAAGCCCCGAAAGAUGGCCCAAGCGCUUGGAUCCCUGCCACUCACGUGGGAGACCCGGAUGGGGCUCCUGACUCCCAGCUCUGGCCUGGCCCCGGCCCUGGCCCCUUAGCUACUACGGGCAUUCGGGGAGGGAACCGGCAGAUAGAAGAAUUUCAGUCUCUCUCUCUCUCUCUCUCUCUCUCUCUCUCUCUCUGUCGCUCUGCCUUUCAAAGAAAUGAAGAUAAAAAUAACCUGUUUUUUAAUUUAAAAAUUAAAAGUCCAGGCAGAGGCAGCCCAGGACGGCCAUCUUCAGGCAAAGCUGAGGUCCGGGUGCCCCCCAGCCCAGCCCCGCCUCACUUCACUGCAUCCAACAGUCUGGUGACCAGGCGGGACUGGCGGGCAGGGCGGGGCUUCUUUGCCGAAUACCCCUGGGUGUCUCUGGACAGCUGGUCGCCCUGUGCAAGUCUGGCUUGCUCAAGCCCCCCCACCCCACCCCCCCGCCCCGCCCCGGCCUCCCUAUCACCCCACCCCCACCCCCAGGUCCAUCAGCCUGUUUUCCGUUUCCUCUUUCUCUCAGAUGAGGCAAAGGCAGAGACCGCUAUACCAGCUGAGCAGGUGCAGUGCCCUGGGCUGGGACACAGCAGCCGGGCCGGGCUCCCCCCGGAGACUCACGGACCCCAUGGCACAGCCAGGCCGCCUCUGCUCCUGCGGGCCUCAGUUUCCCCCAUGGCUAUGACUCAGAACACCUGCACUGUGCAGUGGGGCGGGGCAGGGCAGGGCAGGGCUUUGCCAUUCCAGCCCCCUGGUCUCUGCCCCUGCCGUCUCCCUGGCUGUGCCUGCGAUGGCCUUAUCUGUAUUCUCCCUUCUUGGGCCGGGACUUCCUCCCUGGGGAAGCUGCUCAGUUCCGGAGCCCCUUGGGGCCCCCAUAGCCCCUUGGCAACCUCAUUCCUUGGUCCUGUCUCAGCCCUGGAGGGUGAGACUGAGAGAAAGGGGAGCUGGGGAGAGGGCAAGGAGCCCCCCAGGGGGUGGCGAGGAGCGGGCCUCCCCCCUCCCGAGACUCACCAGAUGCUGGGCUCCCUGCUCCGAGGCCGGACACCCUCCUGCCCGCCUGGCCCAUGGUUUUUGAAGCCUUGA